rnacentral:tRNA from 1 species
GCCUGGCUGGCUCAGUCGGUAGAACAUGGGACUUUUGAUCUCAGGUCGUGGGUUUGAUCCCCCACAUUGGGCA